rnacentral:lncRNA from 1 species
UGUUUAACCAACGUGUUUAACCAACGUGUUUAACCAACCAACCAACCAAUCAAUCAAUCAAUGCAUGUUUCCGUUUCAUGUGUUAAAUACGGGAUCCGAGAUGGUUUUUUUUUCGUUUGUUAAAAUUGAGCCUAUCAAACGUGUUUAACCAGCCAACGUGUUUAACCGUGUUUAACCACAUGUUUAACCAACGUGUUUAACCAACCAACCAACCAACCAAUAAAUCAAUGCAUGUUUCCGUUUCAUGUGUUAAAUACGGGAUCCAAGAUGUUUUUUUUUUCGCUUGUUUAAAUUGAGCCUAUCAAACGUGUUUAACCAGCCAACGUGUUUAACCAACGUGUUUAAACCAACAUGUUUAACCAAUGUGUUUAACCAACCAACCAACCAACCAAUCAAUCACUUAAUGUAUGUUUCCGUGUCAUGCGUUUAAUACGGGAUGCAAGGUCUCUUGAGGUCUUUUUCCCCUUGUUCUAAGUGACCC